rnacentral:rRNA from 1 species
AUUGAACGCUGGCGGAAUGCUUUACACAUGCAAGUCGAGCGGCAGCGCGGGGGCAACCCUGGCGGCGAGCGGCGAACGGGUGAGUAACAUAUCGGAACGUACCCAGUCGUGGGGGAUAACUAUCCGAAAGGAUAGCUAAUACCGCAUACGUCCUGAGGGAGAAAGCGGGGGAUCGCAAGACCUCGCGCGAUUGGAGCGGCCGAUAUCGGAUUAGCUAGUUGGUGGGGUAAAGGCUCACCAAGGCGACGAUCCGUAGCGGGUCUGAGAGGACGACCCGCCACACUGGAACUGAAGACACGGUCCAGACUCCUACGGGAGGCAGCAGUGGGGAAUUUUGGACAAUGGGGGCAACCCUGAUCCAGCCAUUCCGCGUGAGUGAAGAAGGCCUCGGUUGUAAG